GACGAACGCUGGCGGCGUGCUUAACACAUGCCAGUCGAACGGAAAGGCCCUGCUUUUGUGGGGUGCUCGAGUGGCGAACGGGUGAGUAACACGUGAGUAACCUGCCCUUGACUUUGGGAUAACUUCAGGAAACUGGGGCUAAUACCGGAUAGGAGCUCCUGCUGCAUGGUGGGGGUUGGAAAGUUUCGGCGGUUGGGGAUGGACUCGCGGCUUAUCAGCUUGUUGGUGGGGUAGUGGCCUACCAAGGCUUUGACGGGUAGCCGGACUGAGAGGGUGGCCGGCCACAUUGGGACUGAGAUACGGCCCAGACUCCUACGGGAGGCAGCAGUGGGGAAUAUUGCACAAUGGGCGGAAGCCUGAUGCAGCAACGCCGCGUGCGGGAUGACGGCCUUCGGGUUGUAAACCGCUUUCGCCUGUGACGAAGCGUGAGUGACGGUAAUGGGUAAAGAAGCACCGGCUAACUACGUG
rnacentral:rRNA from 1 species